UACGGGAGGCAGCAGUGGGGAAUAUUGCACAAUGGGCGCAAGCCUGAUGCAGCCAUGCCGCGUGUAUGAAGAAGGCCUUCGGGUUGUAAAGUACUUUCAGUCGUGAGGAAGGUGUUAAGGUUAAUAACCUUAGCAAUUGACGUUAGCGACAGAAGAAGCACCGGCUAACUCCGUGCCAGCAGCCGCGGUAAUACGGAGGGUGCGAGCGUUAAUCGGAAUUACUGGGCGUAAAGGGCACGCAGGCGGUUAAUUAAGUUGGAUGUGAAAUCCCCGGGCUUAACCUGGGAAUGGCAUUCAAGACUGGUUAGCUAGAGUCUUGUAGAGGGGGUGAAUUCCAUGUGUAGCGGUGAAAUGCGUAGAGAUGUGGAGGAAUACCGGUGGCGAAGGCGGCCCCUGGGACAAAGACUGACGCUCAUGUGCGAAAGCGUGGGGAGCAAACAGGAUUAGAUACC
rnacentral:rRNA from 1 species